rnacentral:rRNA from 1 species
UACGUAGGGUGCAAGCAUUGUUCGGAAUCACUGGGCGUAAAGGGCGCGUAGGCGGGCUCGUAAGUCGAUUGUGAAAUCCCCAGGCUUAACCUGGGAACUGCAGUCGAAACUGCAAGUCUUGAAUGCUCGAGAGGAUGGCGGAAUUCCUGGUGUAGUGGUGAAAUACGUAGAUAUCAGGAAGAACACCUGAGGCGAAGGCGGCUAUCUGGUGAUGCAUUGACGCUAAGGCGCGAAAGCGUGGGGAUCAAACAGG